UGGGUAAUCUGCCCUGCACUUUGGGAUAAGCCUGGGAAACUGGGUCUAAUACCGAAUACACCCUGCUGGUCGCAUGGCCUGGUGGGGGAAAGCUUUUGCGGUGUGGGAUGGGCCCGCGGCCUAUCAGCUUGUUGGUGGGGUGAUGGCCUACCAAGGCGACGACGGGUAGCCGGCCUGGGAGGGUGUCCGGCCACACUGGGACUGAGACACGGCCCAGACUCCUACGGGAGGCA
rnacentral:rRNA from 1 species